UUGAAAGGGAAACGAUUGAAGUCAGUCGUACCGACGAGAAAUCAGCUCUUUGAGUGUGGACCUGUGGGCGUGCGUGAGCUUUACGGUCUCGCUGUUUGCAAUGUUUGUUCUUUUUGGGUGUACUUUUUCGUAUGGUAGGCCAACAUCAGUUUCGAAUACCAUAAAAUGACCGGCGGAAUGUAGCUUCGAUCUCGUAUUGAAGCGUUAUAGCCUUCGGUAGAUGUGACGAUCGGGAUCGAGGAUUGCAACGAAUACCCUUUGGGCUAUCCGCCUGACCUCUGAAAGUCGCUUGGGUACCGAAAGCUUGCUUAUGGUCAUUCAAGUUGGCGGUCAAAAGGUUAGAACGUGAUUAAAUUCGUUAAGGAUGUUGACGUA
rnacentral:rRNA from 1 species